rnacentral:tRNA from 1 species
GCCUCGGUGGCUCAGCCUGGUAGAUGUUCCCGGAACACCGGAGAGCAUCCGCCUCGUACCCGCAGGGUCGCGGGUUCAAACCCCGCCCGAGGCU